rnacentral:lncRNA from 1 species
CUCAAAACAAAUAUACAGCUUUGGGAUUUUCACCAGCAACAACCCAGACUCACUAUAAGAAUGAGAUAGUUCCUGGGGCCCCAGAGAAAUAAAAAACUUUGAGCAAACAAUAGGAUAAUUGGACUUCCACAACUUCAACAUUCCUCCCCAACAUUCUACUCAGCACCAAGCAUGUGGAAAAUCUCCCCCCAACUCCUGGUUUCUACACCGGAAAAAGUGGGAUUGAGGUGGUCAACCAGCUUCUUCACCAUCUUGGGUGUACUUGCAGGAGGAAAGAACUAUUCCUUCCAGCCCAGAACACUGUCUCUGAACAGCAAGAUGGCUUUGAAACGCUUUCACAACGAAGGUGUGCUCCACUGGGCACCACAACAUACGGUUCAGACGUUUAAAGCCUGUCUCAGCCCAAUUUCCUCUCCAUUUGCUCCCUGGGUAAGCAGACUGUCCCUUUGAUGAAUCAAG